rnacentral:rRNA from 1 species
AUUUAAAAUGUAUUUAUAAAUACUAAAGUAGUAUUAGUUAUGUUCUUGAAACUUAAAAAAUUUGGCGGUAUUUUAGUCUAUUCAGAGGAACCUGUUCUAUAAUCGAUAAUCCACGAUGGACCUUACUUAAAUUUGUAAAUCAGUUUAUAUACCGUCGUUAUUAGAAUAUUUUAUAAGAAUAAUAAUUUUCAUAAAAUUUAAUUAAAACAUAUAUCAGAUCAAGGUGUAGCUUAUGUUUAAGUAGAAAUGGGUUACAAUAAAAAUAUUUAUACGAAUGUAAAUAUGAAAAAUUUACUGAAGGUGGAUUUGAUAGUAAAAUUAUAAAGAUUAAUAAUUUGAUUUUAGCUCUAAAAUAUGU